rnacentral:rRNA from 1 species
AGGAUGAACGCUGGCGGCGUGCCUAAUACAUGCAAGUCGAGCGGCAGCGCGGUCUUCGGACUGGCGGCGAGCGGCGGACGGCUGAGUAACACGUAGGAACGUACCCCAAAGUGAGGGAUAAGCACCAGAAAUGGUGUCUAAUACCGCAUGUGCUCUAAGGAGUAAAGCUUCGGCGGUUUGGGAACGGCCUGCGCAUGAUUAGCUUGUUGGUGAGGUAAAAGCUCACCAAGGCGACGAUCAUUAGCUGGUCUGAGAGGAUGAUCAGCCAGACUGGGACUGAGAACGGCCCAGACUCCUACGGGAGGCAGCAGUAGGGAAUUUUCCACAAUGGGCGAAAGCCUGAUGGAGCAACGCCGCGUGCAGGAUGAAACCCUUCGGGCGUAAGCUGCUUUUAUGGUGACGAAUAUGACGGUAGCCAAUGAAUAAGGAUCGGCUAACUCCGUGCCAGCAGCCGC